rfam:Camelus ferus unplaced genomic scaffold scaffold672, whole genome shotgun sequence.
GAGGGUAUAGCUCAAGUGGUGGAGUGCAUGCUUGGCAUGCAUGAAGUCAUGAGUUCAAUCCCCGGUACCUCCU